ensembl:snRNA U6 U6 spliceosomal RNA
GUGCUUACUUCAGCAGCACAUACACUAAAAUUAGAACAAUAUAGGAAAGAUUAGCAAGGAUGACACGCAAAGUCACGAAGCCUUCCAUAUAUUG